AUCUUACUCCCUCCGUCCGAAAAUACUUGUCCGAGGAAUGGAUGUAUCUAGAUGUAUUUUAGUUCUCGAUGCAUCCAUUUGUAUCCAUAUGUACGACAAGUAUUUUCGGACGAAGGGAGUAGUAU
rfam:Triticum urartu cultivar G1812 contig1455094, whole genome shotgun sequence.